rnacentral:rRNA from 1 species
CCUACGGGUGGCUGCAGUGGGGAAUAUUGCACAAUGGGCGCAAGCCUGAUGCGGCCAUGCCGCGUGUGUGAAGAAGGCCUUCGGGUUGUAAAGCACUUUCAGCGGGGAGGAAGGCGGUGAGGUUAAUAACCUCAUCGAUUGACGUUACCCGCAGAAGAAGCACCGGCUAACUCCGUGCCAGCAGCCGCGGUAAUACGGAGGGUGCAAGCGUUAAUCGGAAUUACUGGGCGUAAAGCGCACGCAGGCGGUCUGUCAAGUCGGAUGUGAAAUCCCCGGGCUCAACCUGGGAACUGCAUUCGAAACUGGCAGGCUAGAGUCUUGUAGAGGGGGGUAGAAUUCCAGGUGUAGCGGUGAAAUGCGUAGAGAUCUGGAGGAAUACCGGUGGCGAAGGCGGCCCCCUGGACAAAGACUGACGCUCAGGUGCGAAAGCGUGGGGAGCAAACAGGAUUAGAUACCCGAGUAGUC